GACGAACGCUGGCGGCGUGCCUAAUACAUGCAAGUAGAACGCUGAAGAGAGGAGCUUGCUCUUCUUGGAUGAGUUGCGAACGGGUGAGUAACGCGUAGGUAACCUGCCUUGUAGCGGGGGAUAACUAUGGGAAACGAUAGCUAAUACCGCAUAACAAUGGAUGACACAUGUCAUUUAUUUGAAAGGGGCAAUUGCUCCACUACAAGAUGGACCUGCGUUGUAUUAGCUAGUAGGUGAGGUAAUGGCUCACCUAGGCGACGAUACAUAGCCGACCUGAGAGGGUGAUCGGCCACACUGGGACUGAGACACGGCCCAGACUCCUACGGGAGGCAGCAGUAGGGAAUCUUCGGCAAUAGGGGCAACCCUGACCGAGCAACGCCGCGUGAGUGAAGAAGGUUUUCGGAUCGUAAAGCUCUGUUGUAAGUCAAGGACGGGUGUGAGAGUGGAAAGUUCACACUGUGACGGUAGCUUACCAGAAAGGGACGGCUAACUACGUG
rnacentral:rRNA from 1 species